GACGAACGCUGGCGGCGUGCCUAAUACAUGCAAGUCGAGCGGACUUUCCGGAGUGCUUGCACUCCGGAAGGUUAGCGGCGGGCGGGUGAGUAACACGUAGGCAACCUGCCCAUAAGACCGGGAUAACAUUCGGAAACGAAUGCUAAUACCGGAUAGACGGACUUCUCGCAGGAGGGGAUCGGGAAAGGCGGAGCAAUCUGCCGCUUGUGGAUUGGCCUGCGGCGCAUUAGCUUGUUGGUGGGGUAACGGCCUACCAAGGCGACGAUGCGUAGCCCGCCGGGGAGGGUGAUCGGCCACCAUGGGACUGAGAAACGGCCCAGACUCCUUCGGGAGGGAGCAGUAGGGAAACUUCCGCCAUGGGGGCAAGGCUGACGGGGCAACGCCGCGGGGGUGAAGAAGGCCUUCGGGUCGUAAAGCUCUGUUGACAGGGAAGAACGGGCAGGGGAGUAACCGCCCUUGCCAUGACGGUACCUGAGAAGAAAGCCCCGGCUAACUACGUGC
rnacentral:rRNA from 1 species